rnacentral:rRNA from 1 species
UACGGGGGGGGCAAGCGUUGUUCGGAAUUACUGGGCGUAAAGGGUUUGUAGGUGGCUUGCUAAGUCAGACGUGAAAUCCCUCAGCUUAACUGAGGAACUGCGUCUGAGACUGGCAAGCUUGAGUGCAGGAGAGGAACGCGGAAUUCCAGGUGUAGCGGUGAAAUGCGUAGAGAUCGGGAGGAACACCGGCGGCGAAGGCGGAUGCCUGGACAGGCCCUGACGCUGAGGCGCGAAAGCUAGGGGAGCAAACAGG